AACGAACGCUUGCGGCAGGCUUAACACAUGCAAGUCGAACGCAUCGCAAGAUGAGUGGCAGACGGGUGAGUAACGCGUGGGAACAUACCCUUUUCUACGGAAUAGCUCUGGGAAACUGGAAUUAAUACCGUAUACGCCCUACGGGGGAAAGAUUUAUCGGGGAAGGAUUGGCCCGCGGUGGAUUAGCUAGUUGGUGGGGUAAAGGCCUACUAAGGCGACGAUCCAUAGCUGGUCUGAGAGGAUGAUCAGCCACAUUGGGACUGAGACACGGCCCAAACUCCUACGGGAGGCAGCAGUGGGGAAUAUUGGACAAUGGGCGCAAGCCUGAUCCAGCCAUGCCGCGUGAGUGAUGAAGGCCUUAGGGUUGUAAAGCUCUUUCACCGAUGAAGAUAAUGACGGUAGUCGGAGAAGAAGCCCCGGCUAACUUCGUGCCAGCAGCCGCAGUAA
rnacentral:rRNA from 1 species